GCGUUGGUGGUUCAGUGGUAGAAUUCUCACGUUCUAUGUGGGAACCCUGGAUUCGAUUCCCAGCCAACGCA
rnacentral:tRNA from 2 species